GACAGAGGGUGCAAACGUUGUUCGGAAUUCCUGGGCGUAAAGCGCGUGUAGGCGGCACGGCAAGUCGGAUGUGAAAGCCCACGGCUCAACCGUGGAAGUGCACCCGAAACUGCCUCGCUAGAGUCUCGGAGAGGAAGGUGGAAUGCUUGGUGCAGAGGUGAAAUUCGUAGAUAUCAAGCGGAACACCGGUGGCGAAGGCGGCCUUCUGGACGAUGACUGACGCUGAGACGCGAAAGCGUGGGGAGCAAACAGG
rnacentral:rRNA from 1 species